rnacentral:rRNA from 1 species
GAUGAACGCUAGCUACAGGCUUAACACAUGCAAGUCGAGGGGCAGCGGUAUCGAAAGCUUGCUUUCGGUAGCCGGCGACCGGCGCACGGGUGAGUAACGCGUAUCGAACCUGCCUCAUACUCGGGAAUAGCCUUGCGAAAGUAAGAUUAAUGCCCGGUGUUUUCAGAGUCCCGCAUGAGGCUUUGAACAAAGAUUUAUCGGUAUGAGAUGGCGAUGCGUCCCAUUAGCUUGUUGGCGGGGUAACGGCCCACCAAGGCAUCGAUGGGUAGGGGUUCUGAGAGGAAGGGCCCCCACAUUGGAACUGAGACACGGUCCAAACUCCUACGGGAGGCAGCAGUGAGGAAUAUUGGUCAAUGGGCGGAAGCCUGAACCAGCCAAGUAGCGUGCAGGAAGACGGCCCUCCGGGUUGUAAACUGCUUUUAGUUGGGAAUAAAACGGGGCUCGUGAGCCCCCUUGCAUGUACCAUCAGAAAAAGGACCGGCUAAUUCCGUG